AAACUAAAUAACGGCUACACUCAUAUAAUUUCUGGAAUAUGGCCAGAAAGUCUCUACCGGGCAACCGUAAAUUGCCUGACUAUGAGUGGAAUUUUGUAUUAA
rnacentral:ncRNA from 2 species